rnacentral:rRNA from 1 species
GACGAACGCUGGCGGCGUGCCUAAUACAUGCAAGUCGAACGAGAGCGACCGGUGCUUGCACUGGUCAAUCUAGUGGCGAACGGGUGAGUAGCACGUGGGUAACCUGCCCAUCAGAGGGGGAUAACAUCCGGAAACGGAUGCUAAAACCGCAUAGGUCUUCGAGCCGCAUGGCUUGAAGAGGAAAAGAGGCGCAAGCUUCUGCUGAUGGAUGGACCCGCGGUGCAUUAGCUAGUUGGUGAGGUAACGGCUCACCAAGGCCGUGAUGCAUAGCCGACCUGAGAGGGUGAACGGCCACAUUGGGACUGAGACACGGCCCAAACUCCUACGGGAGGCAGCAGUAGGGAAUCUUCCGCAAUGGACGCAAGUCUGACGGAGCAACGCCGCGUGAGUGAAGAAGGUUUUCGGAUCGUAAAACUCUGUUGUUAGAGAAGAACAAGUGCUAGAGUAACUGUUAGCGCCUUGACGGUAUCUAACCAGAAGGCCACGGCUAACUACGUGCCAGCAGCCGCGGUAAUACGUAGGUGGCAAGCGUUGUCCGGAUUUAUUGGGCGUAAAGCGAGCGCAGGCGGUUCCUUAAGUCUGAUGUGAAAGCCCCCGGCUCAACCGGGGAGGGUCAUUGGAAACUGGGGAACUUGAGUGCAGAAGAGGAGAGUGGAAUUCCAUGUGUAGCGGUGAAAUGCGUAGAUAUAUGGAGGAACACCAGUGGCGAAGGCGCCUCUCUGGUCUGUAACUGACGCUGAGGCUCGAAAGCGUGGGUAGCAAACAGG